rnacentral:rRNA from 1 species
UUUCCUCCGGGACGCAGCAGUGGGGAAUAUUGCACAAUGGGGGAAACCCUGAUGCAGCGACGCCGCGUGCGUGCAGCCGUAUUUCGGUAUGUAAAGCUCUAUCAGCAGGGAAGAUAAUGACGGUACCUGACUAAGAAGCCCCGGCUAACUACGUGCCAGCAGCCGCGGUAAUACGUAGGGGGCAAGCGUUAUCCGGAUUUACUGGGUGUAAAGGGUGCGUAGGUGGCAGGGCAAGUCAGAUGUGAAAGCCCGGGGCUCAACCCCGGUACUGCAUUUGAAACUGUCCAGCUGGAGUGCAGGAGAGG